CUACCAGACUCCUACGGGAGGCAGCAGUGGGGGAUAUUGCACAAUGGGGGGAACCCUGAUGCAGCGACGCCGCGUGGGUGAAGGAGCGUUUCGGCGCGUAAAGCCCUAUCGGCAGGGAAGAAGGAGGACGGUACCUGACUAAGAAGCCCCGGCUAACUACGUGCCAGCAGCCGCGGUAAUACGUAGGGGGCAAGCGUUAUCCGGAUUUACUGGGUGUAAAGGGAGCGUAGACGGUUCUGCAAGUCUGAAGGGAAAGCCCGUGGCUUAACCGCGGAACGGCUUUGGAAACUGUGGAACUGGAGUGCUGGAGAGGCAAGCGGAAUUCCUAGUGUAGCGGUGAAAUGCGUAGAUAUUAGGAAGAACACCGGUGGCGAAGGCGACUUUCUGGACUGUAACUGACGUUGAGGCACGAAAGUGUGGGGAGCAAACAGGAUUAGAUACCCGA
rnacentral:rRNA from 1 species